rnacentral:rRNA from 1 species
UACAGGGGGUGCAAACGUUGCUCGGAAUCAUUGGGCGUAAAGCGCACGUAGGCGGCUUCAAAAGUCGGAUGUGAAAUCCCUCGGCUCAACCGAGGACGUGCAUCCGAAACUGUGAGGCUUGAGUACUGAAGAGGAUCGCGGAAUUCCCGGUGUAGAGGUGAAAUUCGUAGAUAUCGGGAGGAACACCAGUGGCGAAGGCGGCGAUCUGGGCAGAUACUGACGCUGAGGUGCGAAAAGCGUGGGGAGCAACAGGG